AUCUUUGGUGCAAACUAAUAAGAUCUUUGUGUCAGUCAUCUUCAUGGGUAGCUUCAUCAGACAUUGGUAAGAUCUUUGUUUUUCUUUUCUCAGUCAACUACUAAUCUCAACUAGAUCUUCGUAUGUAUUUGCUCCAUUCUGCAAGAAGAUGUGAACUAAUCCCCUUCAAUUUUUGUCUUCAGUCCUGAGCUUCCAAUAUCAGUAAUUUUUGUAAGCUACGAAGACUUAGUACAUUCCUUUGGCAGUGAUCUUGAACUGGCAAUCUUGCCCAUUCUCUGGGUUCUAAACCCUGUUUCUUAGGCCUUGUGCUUUUUUCCUCAAAGGUGUUCACUUAGACCUUUCUCAAUAAACAAAGUAGAUUGUUUUCUCACAAAGUCCAUAGAACAUUGGAACUUCUGUAAUACCUAUAGCGGUAAUCGUCCAUCUAAUAAAAGUAGCUUACUAAAAUAGAUACUGAUUGACUAACACAAUAAAGGACCUCAUUGAAGUUUUUUU